UCAUUUUACUCCGCUGCCAUGCACAAGUGUUACAGUAAUGACCCACCCAAGUCAUUAAAAAACGUAGUUGCAUCAGGACCCAACCAAACACUUAUUCGAUUACAAAUUCCUCAAUGUGAGAUUGUGCCACCUGCUUUAGAACCUGCAUCAUUUUCUUGCAUGGAUCAUAAUUUUUUUUUUCUCACCUAGCUUGCCAUUUCUUGUAUAUUAUUGCUGCUCACUUGGACAUAUGACAGCAUGACUUAGCAGUGUUAUCUGAAGCAAUAAUGAAGGAAUAGAUAAUGGGCUCUCAAUUGUAAAACAGCAAUGGAGUAGUACAAGACAAUGUUAUUGUGAAUGGCGCCCCUUAUACGUAGGCAUGCCUGCUUGAGGGUUAAACCUAAACAACAGAGCAAUCUUUUAUUUAUAUGCAAACUGAGCAGUUGUCAGACACCAGACAGUGUUAUUGCACCAACUUUUGAAAUGUACAUCAGUACACAUUCCUAUUCCAUUUAUGUAUAAUCAACAAUGUUUCACCAUAUACUUCAAAAUGUGGUGCAUUACAAAUAAUUACUAAAUUAAUACAUACAUCUUGGCAAAAAGGUAUAUGAAGAGAUUUGUUAAAUACAGGACAAAAGUCUUACAAAAAUUUGCCAUUCACAUAUGAAAUUAUUUUGUAUCUCAUUCAUGACUAUUUUCAAUUGAGAAAAUCCACACACUUAUUAUAUCUGAUUUAAGAAUGGUCAACGUGAACACACAAACAAAGCUAAUAUGCAGACUUUCACAGAUGGUUAUGUACACGAAGUUUGAAACAAAUUUAUGGUCAACGAUUUCUAAUACAAGAUCCUCCCAAAUAAAAUCUGUGGGCUCCCAAACACAUCAAAUGUUUACAUAUUCACUUCUGACAUCCAUAGACGAUAGCAAGAGAUUUUAAAAUACACUGAGUACUGACAGCAUUAUGUCAGAUGGACCUUGCACACAAUGGAACAACAUGUUUGAACACCAAGUGUUUGUGACUAUGCUACCCAGAGAAAUUAGCUACCCAGUUGAACACGCAUGGACAUAAAAUUGCAUUUAAUGACACUUAUAAUGAAGCCUAAUGGUUUCUAGAAACUGCAACAGAAGUAGUUAUUGAUAUAGAAAUAUAUAACCAUCAAUAAAGACAAUGGUUUGCAGCUGAAUACACCAUGGACACAGCCACCGUAAGGUUACAACAGGUGUGGCAGGCACAGGAUAAAAACAAAGCUUUGUAUGACGAUGAACUGUGAGUAUUUGUGAUGUGACAUCUGAUGCGAUGGCUAUACAAAACAAGGCAAGCAACCUCACAGUCAGCUGCCAUUUAACAAUGGCUGAGGAGCAUUGUUGAAAGCUCAUGGAUGUACAGGCACUUGAUGCUGCUGGAAGCAUUAGAAGAUAUUGCGGCGAGAUCGUGCAUUCUGAUAAAUGUGUGACCAAUUUAACAACACAAACAUCACAGAUAGCUGUGUAUCCCUUUUCCAACACACUAGUAAUCAUAUGAUAUGCUGAGAGAUUCCAGACUGAGUACGAUGUACACAAAUAUGAACAGCUUGUAUUAGCUUGCUAGAUACAGCAUAAGAAAGAAUUUCUUUUCUCUGACGUAAUUUUUAAAAUUGUUACUGUUCCAAAAACAGGAUAUUUAGAGGUUCAAGCACAGGUAGACAAAGAUGACGACGUGAGUUGGCUUAUGACUUGUUGAAGGGAU